CACGGGGGGAGCAAGCGUUGUUCGGAAUCACUGGGCGUAAAGGGCGUGUAGGCGGUCAGGUUAGUGGGAUGUGAAAUCCCUCGGCUCACCCGAGGACCGGCAUCUCAUACUGCUUGGCUUGAGUACGGGAGAGGAUGUGGGAAUUCCUGGUGUAGCGGUGAAAUGCGUAGAUAUCAGGAGGAACACCGGUGGCGAAGGCGCACAUCUGGCCCGAUACUGACGCUGAUGCGCGAAAGCUAGGGGAGCAAACGGG
rnacentral:rRNA from 1 species